UACGGAGGGUGCAAGCGUUAUCCGGAUUCACUGGGUUUAAAGGGUGCGUAGGCGGGCAGGUAAGUCAGUGGUGAAAUCUCCAAGCUUAAGUUGGAAACUGGCGUUGAUACUAUCUGUCUUGAAUGUUGUGGAGGUGAGCGGAAUAUGUCAUGUAGCGGUGAAAUGCUGAGAUAUGACAUAGAACACCAAUUGCGAAGGCAGCUCACAACACAAAUAUCGACGCUGAGGCACGAAAGCGUGGGGAUCAAACAGG
rnacentral:rRNA from 1 species